GGAAAAUGCAAGGCUCCUGGUACACCUGAUGAUUGCGAAUUUAGCGCCAUGAUUGCAACUUGCAUUAAAAAGGAAUGUGAAGCCCGUGGCAUCACCGUGGACAGCAUUCAAUAAUUCAUUCAAUGAAAACUAACCGACACUUGCUUUCAAUGUAACGAAUACCAAAUCACUUCUGCAAUUUUUCAAUAAAAUAUCAAUGAAUUGUGUGAAUAAUA